AUGCUUCCGCAGUCCGAUUGCCGCUCGCAAGUCGUAUGUCGAAAAGCCUCUCCUUGCCAUCGUCGUCGGUGAGCGUUAGAGCCACCGAUCUAAAGAAGUUUCUAUUUCUCCACUAUAAUCACUUUAAAUUCGACAGAUUUUUCCUUUUUCCAACAAAAAAAAAAGUUUGGAUUUGUGGUAUUUUGUGUGGAACUGAAGAAUCGUGAUUGUGAGUUUUGCAUAUUACGACGGGAAUGAAUGACAAGGGGCUAAAGCUCUACGCCCUGUGUAUCUGAACACGGCUCGUGUCUUGUUGUCAAUUUGGUAUGUUGAUGGCGAUGAAGGAAUCCGAUGUUUUCCAAUCGAGAGAUUGGCUUAAAGCAGUACCUAUUUGGAAGUCGCGUACGUCUUGAGAUUAGGCGGAAGGACGUAUGCAAGUGCAAACUGCAAUUUCAGUUUUUGUAUUGAAACUAAAUGGACCAGUGAAGCAAAGUCUCAUUAUCAUUCAAGUGCAGUGUUAGUUUGAGUUCAUGUUUUGGCUUCACAAGGCAUGACGAAAGAGCAUAUAAAUUUCUAUAGCUUGCACGGAGAUAAGAGUCAACUGACUGCUAGCGAUCAACAUGUCAAAGAUGGUUUAUACCUUGCUUUAUUUGAAAUCCUCGAGUUUAGUGAGUCAUUCUUUGAGAUAAAUUUGUUUGCUUCUCAUGGAGGUUUGAUGCAAAAAAGGCAUUAUAAGUGUGUUGUAUAUCAAACUUUGUACAAUUAACUGUUCUAGACAAUCUAUGUACUAUUAAAUGUACCUUUCUCCUCGACGGAAGCCAUGUCCUCGGACCGCGCCAGCGAUCUCGCCCUUUCUCCCAUGGAUGUCCUCCCCCAACGCUUGCGCCGCUACAACCACCUUUUCCAAUGACUAGAAGUCUUAGAGCUUGAGUAAUUCCUCCAUCAAAAUCCUCGUCAGAUCUGUCGAUGACAGCGGUGACAAGGAGAGACGAGUCCCACGAGUCUCAGGCGAGGUCGUGGUGAGGGCGAAGUCAAGUUCGUCGCCGGUGAGGAUAUUUCAGCCGUUUUGGCAUCAAAGAUUCAAAUCUUUUGGCAAUGAUUUCCCCGUCAUUUGGUCUCCUCCCCAAAUCCUUGGACGUCUCUGUUGUGUUUGCGAGGGGUUGACAGGAUUGAAGCGACAAAUCAAAUAUAUGAUUUCUCCUAAUUCAUUCCUAAAAAAUCAGACGAAAUUAACAGAUUUCUUCCUCAAAUUAAAUAUAUGA